UACGUAGGAUGCAAGCGUUGUCCGGAUUUACUGGGCGUAAAGAGCGCGCAGGUGGUUUGAUAAGUUGGAUGUGAAAGCCCCUGGCUUAACUAGGGUAGGUCGUUCAAAACUAUCAGACUCGAGUGCAGCAGAGGAAAGUGGAAUUCCCGGUGUAGUGGUGAAAUGCGUAGAUAUCGGGAGGAACACCAGUGGCGAAAGCGACCACCUGGACUGAUACUGACACUGAGGUGCGAAAGCGUGGGGAGCAAACAGG
rnacentral:rRNA from 1 species